AAAGAUUUAAGUUAAAAAAACUAAUAGCCUUCAAAGCUCUAAUUGAUCAAAAUCAAUCUUUA
rnacentral:tRNA from 1 species